GCAAAGCGCUGGGGAGCCCCGAGGAGAAGUGACGGAGCAGUGCCAAUGCCCCCCUCCCCGCAUUGACGUCCGUUUAUUUCUCCCCAGCACAAAUGACGUGUGGCGUGGAU
ensembl:miRNA gga-mir-6619 gga-mir-6619